GCCUGUAGCUCAGUUGGUAGAGCAACUGACUUUUAAUCAGUAGGUCUCCGGUUCGAACCCG
rnacentral:tRNA from 3 species